CAAAGUGCUGGGAUUCCAGGCGUGAGCCACCGCGCCGGGACCCAAGGCCCUUAAGUUUUAAGGCCUCAUUCUUCAGUCAGGUUUUCCCUGUUCCCGCGUGUUCGGCCAAUUUUUUGUUGUUGUUGUUUUGUUUUUGUUUUUGUUUUUGAGUCAAUUUUCCAGACAUCUUUAAUUAGCAAUAUGUUUAAGUAGUUACAAGCCUUUCCUUCUUUUCUUGUGACAGUUUGGGUUGAAUUUCUAUCGUUUGCAGCCUGUCACUGUAAGGCACAAACAUGAUCACGCAAGAUGCGAUAGUAGAUUUAAGCCAGUUGUUUUUAAGUUUGUGUUUAAGGAGAAACUAACAAUGAAAACGGCCUCGUUGACGGAGGAAAAGUUGGAAUGCAGCCUCUGGUGCUGUUUGAGCGAUCCCUCUCCCCGGGGCCUGGCCGCGCGCUGCUGUGUUCUGGAAGGGCUCAUUGUACAGUCAAGGCGGCAGGGCCUUCUUCUGUCACCCAUGCUGGAGUGCAGUAGCAUGAUCACAGCUCACGGUAGCCUCCACCUUCUGGGCUCAAUCCUCCUACCUCAGCCUUCCAAGUAGCUGGGACUACAGGACUGGAUCUCAUUUAUCUUUCUGGGAAUAGCGCCAUCUCUAAAGACUCCAAGUUAACCCACUUCAUAGCUAAUCAUUCCAGUCUAGACACUAAAUAUUGCAGUGUCAGUCAACAUUCCCAGGGCCAGAUCUUACCUCACACCUCAGGGUCAUAACUCUCUUGACUACAUUGGGUUCUGUCCUACUUUUCUCAUUCUUGGCCAUGUGUAUUUUGUCCUAUCCUGGGAACAAGGAGAGGAGGCAAGAGCUUUCUCUUGCAUUUCCAUGUUAACCUUACUACCACAUUCUUCCCAGAAAGCCAGGAAAUACAAUGCCAAUGUUUUCCAUUCAGUUUAUAUUUCAUGUAUAAUUAACUUUUGUGUUGAACAUGAAUAAACUGAAAAUUUCUUGAAAUAGAAACAA
ensembl:lncRNA novel transcript